AGGAGCUCUCGGUGGUGACCCCACCAUCACCAGUUUGUUAAGUUGCUUUUUCCUAAUGUGAUUUUUGACAAAGAAAAAGAUUCUCAGACCUAACGACUUAAUCUGGAUCUGACAGAAACCUAACUCAAAGUGGCUUAAGCAAACAGAGAGUCUUUUGGUUCAUGUAGCUGAAAAGCCCAGGAGUAGUGCUGGCUUCAGGCUUGGCUGGGUCCAGAGCCUCAACCACCACCAUCAGAUGUUUCUAACUCUUGGCUCCACUUUCUCUGGUGCUGGCUUUGUUCUCAGACGGGCUCUCCCUAGAAAGCCUCAAAGAUGGCCACUGAUGGUUCCAGGCUUAUGUCCUACUAACUUGGUAACCCCAGGAAAAUGCAGUAUUUCUCUCCUGGUAACUCUGCCAAGAAUUCUAGAUUUUCCUCUCAUUGUGGCUGCCGCAGGACCAAUCACCGUGCUUGAGCCAUGGAAGGCUCUGAUCAGCCAAGCAGCUUGGGUCCGCUCACUGGGACCACGAGCAGGGCCUGAAAGGAAGAGCGGGCUUUGUCACCACAGAGGAGGAGUGAUGCUCAACAGGCAACAGAGGUGGCCUCCACCCUGCCCUAGUGUUCUAGAACAGUCCGUUUACCAGACGUGCGACACUCUUUUUCAGAGAUCCACCAGAAGGGGCCGCGUCCCACCUGUGGCCCUGGGUGUGUGCAGGAUGGAUGGCCCUGGGGGCCUCGAUGUCGUUAAGCCCUCAGCCCAGCUACUAACGCCCACAUCACUUCACACUGAUGGUCUGACAUAUCAGUUGCCUCUGCUCUCCGUUACUCACUUCUGUUUGCCAUCUGCCACCCUUGCAACUACAUACCUUCUGUGCCUCGGUUUCCUUGGGAAGAGUUCCUAUGGCCGCCAAAGCCCAGACUGGGAGCCAUCUGUGAUGACCGGAUGAGAUGCUGUAUGUGCAGUGUAUGCACAGUGCUGGCCACAGGAAGUGCUCAGAGAACAUGAACGACCUUUACAGUUAUGAUCUUGUUCUGUCACUUGGCUGUGACUGCCCUGCUUCAUUUGAUGGAGGCCCAAUAAAUAUUGUCGAAUGAAUGAAAACA
rnacentral:lncRNA from 1 species